UACGUAGGGUCCAAGCGUUGUUCGGAAUCACUGGGCGUAAAGGGAGCGUAGGCGGGAUCGUAAGUUAGAAGUAUAAUACACCGGCUCAACCGGUGGCCUGCUUUUAAUACUGCGAUUCUUGAGUUUGGAAGAGGGAGAUGGAAUUCCAGGUGUAGCGGUGGAAUGCGUAGAUAUCUGGAAGAACACCAGCAGCGAAGGCGGUCUCCUGGUCCUAUACUGACGCUGAGGCUCGAAAGCUAGGGGAGCAAACAGG
rnacentral:rRNA from 1 species